AGAGCAACAACUGGUUUAUUGGUUUGCAAAUACUCGUCAUGGAGAUCAAUCUUCUUCUUAGCCAUCUUUAACACCUUAGUGACGGAUCCAAAAAUCUUACCUUAUAUAGUGUAAAAGAUAGUGAAUGUGGCGAUAGGAUUUUGGCGGCGACCGAGAGAUGGAGGUUAAGGGUUUUGGGGGGAGAUUUGAGGGGUUUAAGGUUGAGGAGAAAUAUAAAUGGGGUUUGGAGUAGAUGGAUUUCGUGAUUUUAUCUGAUAAUCUGAUUAUGUUCCGAAUUUGUUAGUGGAUCAAAUUUGAAUGUGGCUACAUCCAAUCUGAUAAUAAUCCGAUCUGUUUUGAUAUAAUAUAGUAUUUAUUUAAUUUUUGUAAUAAAAUAUAUUGAUAGAUUAAUUUGCUUACUUUUUUAUAUUUUGAAUCCAAUGUUUUAAUAGCCCAAUUGAUAUUCAAAUCCCUAAACCCAACUUUACCCCUAAGUCUAAAGCCCAACUUCGCAGCCCCAAUAAAAACCCUACCUCUCUUCCACUAAAUCCUAUCAUUCUCCUCUCGCUUCAGCCGCCUCCAUCUAAACUUCUCUCUCUCUCUCAAAGUUUCUCUUCUUCAUGGCUAGCUCUUUCUUCUCUGUCUAUCUUUUUCUUGACAGAGUUGGAAAUGAAAAGUAAGAGUGAAGGAACACAAGAAGCGUGCUCUUCUUCUUCUUCUUCCUCAGGUGCGCAGCGGUUCUUGAGUUUCAGGGAUGAGGUCGUACAACUAUAAUGUCUAUGACGAGCCCAUAAAGGCUACUUCAGAAUCAGCAGAGUGGAUAUUUUUAGCCACUAACCUUGGCCUAGAGAUGUUGUCAGCUGCUUGUGAUCAGGUUCCUCCCCAAGAAAAACCCAUUAUGCACUAUUUGGUAUGCUGUUGGCUAUUGCAGCUGUGCUCAUUUCCAUCUGGGAGCUUACAGCAUACCAAAUAGUGCAUAGUGGGGUUUUUUUGGAACUCUUCCUGACAUUUAUGGACUAGUUGCUGGCAUAUCACAUUGCAUUUGCUGUAUAGUUCAGUAUGUUUACUGCCUUCGGCAUGCUAAUAAUCCUUUCAAAGCAUCCCUUUUGCCUGCCAUAUUUCUUCUCUGUUUAGGUGGUUCAAAACUAAGUAAUAACCGAAGGAACGCCAAUACCGCUGAUAACAUCUUGAGAAAGCCUUUGGAUGGUGGAAAGCCCCUCGGAUGCGCUGGACUACCACUCUACAUGCUCGCUUUGUUCAUGCUGUUAACCUUUUGGGUGGCCAUGAAAGUGCUACACCAGAGUCAGUUCUUGAGCUUAUGGAUGUCAAAGAUCUCACCUAGGCACAUGUCAGAUCUCAUUUACUGGUCAAGGUUUGAGUCUCUUCAUGCACACUGAAUUUCGGAACUUUUUUAAGUUGAGGGCAACAUAGUUGGUUACCAGUGAGGGGGCGGUGGUGGGAGGCUGGGAGGUGCUGGCUGACGAUGGGCACGUCGGUGGUGGCUGGGAUGAGGUGAUGGCUGAGCAGCAGCAGCGAGUGUAGCAACUGCUGAUGCAUUGGGCAGUGGCGGCUGGCUUGAAGGCGGAUUGAUGGAGGUGGACAUGUGGCUUGACUUCGAUGUAGUGGCAUUAUGUGUAAUUUUGAUAUUUUUUAAUUAUAUUAUUGUAAAAUUAGGUACCACUUUUUGGUUAUUGGCUUUAUGCUAAUUAGGUAAAAUUGAAGAAAUCAGAAGAAAAACAAGAUUCGGAUCUUCUGCUUUGA